rnacentral:rRNA from 1 species
UGGGGAAUAUUGCACAAUGGGCGGAAGCCUGAUGCAGCGACGCCGCGUGGGGGAUGAAGGCCUUCGGGUUGUAAACUCCUUUCGACAGGGACGAAGCUUUUGUGACGGUACCUGUAUAAGAAGCACCGGCUAACUACGUGCCAGCAGCCGCGGUAAUACGUAGGGUGCGAGCGUUGUCCGGAAUUACUGGGCGUAAAGAGCUCGUAGGUGGUUUGUCGCGUCGUCUGUGAAAUUCCGGGGCUUAACUCCGGGCGUGCAGGCGAUACGGGCUGACUUGAGUGCUGUAGGGGAGACUGGAAUUCCUGGUGUAGCGGUGAAAUGCGCAGAUAUCAGGAGGAACACCGAUGGCGAAGGCAGGUCUCUGGGCAGUAACUGACGCUGAGGAGCGAAAGCAUGGGUAGCGAACAGGAUUAGAUACCCUGGUAGUCCAUGCCGUAAACGGUGGGCGCUAGGUGUAGGGGGCUUCCACGUCUUCUGUGCCAUAGCUAACGCAUUAAGCGCCCCGCCUGGGGAGUACGGCCGCAAGGCUA